CUACGGUUCGCUGCAGUGGGGAAUAUUGCACAAUGGAGGAAACUCUGAUGCAGCAACGCCGCGUGGAGGAUGACACUUUUCGGAGCGUAAACUCCUUUUAUAUAGGAAGAAGAUGACGGUACUAUAUGAAUAAGCGCCGGCUAACUCCGUGCCAGCAGCCGCGGUAAUACGGAGGGCGCAAGCGUUACUCGGAAUCACUGGGCGUAAAGAGCGUGUAGGCGGAUUAAAAAGUCAGAAGUGAAAUCCUAUAGCUUAACUAUAGAACUGCUUCUGAAACUCUUAAUCUAGAAUAUGGGAGAGGUAGAUGGAAUUUCUGGUGUAGGGGUAAAACCCGUAGAGAUCAGAAGGAAUACCGAUUGCGAAGGCGAUCUACUAGAACAUUAUUGACGCUGAGACGCGAAAGCGUGGGGAGCAAACAGGAUUAGAUACCCUAGUAGUC
rnacentral:rRNA from 1 species